CCUACGGGUGGCAGCAGUGGGGAAUAUUGCACAAUGGGGGAAACCCUGAUGCAGCGACGCCGCGUGAGUGAAGAAGUAUUUCGGUAUGUAAAGCUCUAUCAGCAGGGAAGAAGAAAGACGGUACCUGACUAAGAAGCCCCGGCUAACUACGUGCCAGCAGCCGCGGUAAUACGUAGGGGGCAAGCGUUAUCCGGAUUUACGGGGUGGAAAGGGAGCGUAGACGGCGGUGCAAGUCUGGAGGGAAAGGCGGGGGCUCAACCCCCGGACUGCUCUGGAAACUGUACGGCUGGAGUGCAGGAGAGGUAAGUGGAAUUCCUAGUGUAGCGGUGAAAUGCGUAGAUAUUAGGAGGAACACCAGUGGCGAAGGCGGCUUACUGGACUGUAACUGACGUUGAGGCUCGAAAGCGUGGGGAGCAAACAGGAUUAGAUACCCCAGUAGUC
rnacentral:rRNA from 1 species